rnacentral:rRNA from 1 species
GAUGAACGCUGGCGGCGUGCCUAAUACAUGCAAGUCGAGCGAACGGACGAGAAGCUUGCGCCUCUGAUGUUAGCGGCGGACGGGUGAGUAACACGUGGAUAACCUACCUAUAAGACUGGGAGAACUUCGGGAAACCGGAGAUGAUACCGGAUAAUAUUUUGAACCGCAUGGUGCAAAAGUGAAAGACGGUCUUGCUGUCACUUAUAGAUGGAUCCGCGUUGCAUUAGCUAGUUGGUAAGGUAACGGCUUACCAAGGCAACGAUGCGUAGCCGACCUGAGAGGGUGAUCGGCCACACUGGAACUGAGACACGGUCCAGACUCCUACGGGAGGCAGCAGUAGGGAAUCUUCCGCAAUGGGCGCAAGCCUGACGGAGCCACGCCGCGUGAGUGAUGAAGGUCUUCGGAUCGUAAAGCUCUGUUAUUAGGGAAGAACAUAUGUGUAAGUAACUGUGGCCAUCUUGACGGUACCUAAUCAGUAAGCCCCGGCUAACUACGUG